UAGAAUAAUAUAGUGUAAUUUCUGUAUACACGAUAUUACUAUAUUUCACCCUUAUAUUUAUAUUAUGGGUACGAAUAUCGAGCUUAGUCAACAAAAAUAAGCCACAUCUGGACGAACAUUGACGGGGUAUAAAGAGCCCCGCCAGCCUACGUCGGCGGCCUAGUGGACGCACAUGGCCAAGACAGUGACCGUCGGGUGAUCCGACGGAUGCACGUGGUCAAGACGGCACAUUCCGGUAUACGACGCGCAGGAUCCGCUCCAAGAUCGACCCUUUUCUUUAUACAUAUGUGUGUAUAUCAAUCAGCGAACCAGUUCGGUAUUGCGCGCGUCGAACGGUGUAGGUGGGGGUGGCCGUCGAUGGCCAUAAUUUUGGACACUUGACCGCUGUCCACCCAAUAUUGAAUCAGUCCUAUUUUCUCUACAGCACAAAACAGACCUCUCCAGAUAUUAUCAGUCACCAGCUCAAGUCAUAAAUAUUACAACACCUCCGUACGAAUAAAGUGAGUUAUAUUUAAUAAUUAUUAUAUACUGUCAUAUUACACUAGUGUAACGGGUAUAGUUUAGAAAGGGCUACUCGAUUUCAAUGGAGAAUUUUUUAUAUAUUAUAUGAAAUUAAUAGGAGUUAUAUUUUUAUUUUUCAGUUCUAACUUCAUAACCUAAUAUACAUCAUCCAUAGCUCUACCCGCGGUCUAUAACUACUAUACAAUAUAAAAUUCUGAAUUCAUUCUCUCAAAUCAAUAUUAUAUUGACGAAUAUUCUCGCCCGCACAACAUAGACCUAUCCGUCUAACGUCAGCCGACAAGUUCUGAAUAUUCACCAUCACCACUCAAAUAAACAUACUAUGCCAUUUCUCCAGUCACUAAAGAGUCAGGCAAAUAAGGUGAACCUCUCGAUCGGGGAACUACGUAAAAACGUUCCGUACCCUGUAACGUCGAUGAAAAAUGUCGGCACUAAAUUCGGGACUGCAGUGUUGUGCACAUUGAGAGAUCCCGAGGGCUUUGGUUCGAUCAACGUUUUUCUGCCCAAGGCGAUCAAGAUGGACGAUGUGGACAUCGAGACGUACAAUCUAGGUGUUGUACCUUCGGUCAGCUUAAUUUAUAAGGGGCUGAAUGGAAGGAGUUUCAUCAUAGACUUUGAAUGAUAUAAUAUAUAGACAAACUCUUCUAUGAAUGAUUACAAUUUAUUUUCUAUU